rnacentral:rRNA from 1 species
UACGUAGGGUGCAAGCGUUAAUCGGAAUUACUGGGCGUAAAGCGUGUGUAGGCUGCUACAUAAGUCGGAUGUGAAAGCCCCGGGCUCAACCCGGGAAGUGCACUCGAUACUGCGUAGCUUGAGUCUCGGAGAGGUUGGUGGAAUUCUCGGUGUAGAGGUGAAAUUCGUAGAUAUCGAGAGGAACACCGGUGGCGAAGGCGGCCAACUGGACGAAGACUGACGCUGAGACACGAAAGCGUGGGGAGCAAACAGG